rnacentral:tRNA from 1 species
GGCUGAUUAGCUCAGUCGGCUGAGCGUGAUGCUGGUAACACCAAGGUCACGGGUUCAAUUCCCGUUCGGUCA